rnacentral:rRNA from 1 species
UACGUAGGAGGCGAGCGUUGUCCGGAAUUACUGGGCGUAAAGCGCGUGUAGGCGGUCUGAAUAGUCUGCUGUGAAAGCGCCUGGCUUAACCGGGCGAGGUCGGUGGAAACUCCUGGUCUAGAGGCCGGUAGAGGGGGGUGGAAUUCCGGGUGUAGUGGUGAAAUGCGUAGAGAUCCGGAGGAACACCCGUGGCGAAGGCGGCCCCCUGGGCCGCGCCUGACGCUGAGACGCGAAAGCGCGGGGAGCGAACGGG